rnacentral:rRNA from 1 species
UACGUAGGGGGCGAGCGUUGUCCGGAGUUACUGGGCGUAAAGGGUGUGUAGGCGGUUGGAUAAGUGUGGUGUGAAAUCUCCCGGCUUAACUGGGAGGGUGCGCUACAAACUGUCUGACUAGAGUGUGGGAUGGGUAAGUGGAAUUCCUGGUGUAGCAGUGAAAUGCGUAGAUAUCAGGAGGAACACCGGUGGUGUAGACGGCUUACUGGACCAUAACUGACGCUGAGACACGAAAGCGUGGGUAGCAAACAGG